rnacentral:sRNA from 1 species
GGGAGGAGUAGAAGGAAAGAAAGGGCAAAGCUGCCUUUAGAUCCCAUCUCAUGCUGUAGUCAUUAUUAGAGUCUUCUCUAGGUCUGGCUAAUCUCACUUAUACUUCCCUCAGAACCAGAGAAAUCUUCCUAAAACAAGACUGUGAUCAUUUAACUCCCUGUUCAAGUGUUUGAUGUUCAAUGAAUCAAGCAUCAAAUAAUUGCAGGCUUAUGCUAAGAGUUAUAGAGUACCAGUCUGCAGAGACGAGAAGAACUCCAGGAAACAGCCAGAGAACAAAAAGGAAGAACAUCCUGUAAAAGUGCUAGGAAGUGGGAGACAAAAAUAGGAAGGAGAUUCGCUUGCUUUGCACAGAGGCUGAGCCACAGGAGAAAGCAAAGCCAAUGUGAUUUAUUGAAUGAAAGCACUGGACAAUUACCAACAACUUGUUCCUCUG